rnacentral:lncRNA from 1 species
GAGGGGAAGGGGAAUGGGGAGGGGAAGGGGAAAGGGGAAAAGAAAAGGGGAAAAAGGGAAGGGGAAAGGGGAAGGGGAAGGGCAGUGGGGAGGGGAAAGGAGAAUGGGAAAGAGAAAAGGGGAAGGGGAAGGGCAGAGGGAAGGGGAAGGGGAAAUAGAAAAGGAAAAAUUAAUGAAAAAUGGGAAAGGGGAGUGGGAAGGGGAAGGGGAAGGGGAAGGGAUUGUCCUUGUCCCCUGUGGGUUGGGGCAACCCCUGGGCACCCCAUGAGCUGGGGGUGCCCGGGGAGCGGGGUGGGCGGCGGGGCAGGGGCCGUGGAGGUGGCCGGACCUCUCCACGUGCCCUGGGGGGGGGGCAGCGCCCGUGCCCCCUCUUCUCAUGUGCUGUGCUCCUCUGCCAAUAAAGGUCCCUGCAGCAGCCACCGAGCCCUUCUGCCGGCGCCUUCAAUGCCCCCUCCCCGGCAACCCCCCCCCCCAAUCAUGCCCCCCCCCGCCCUCCCCCCCCCUGCCCCAGAUGCCAAGAGUUUGUUGUGGGUUCAGAGCACGGUUUGGGGGGAAAUUUGGGAAAAGGAGGUGAUGCAGUGCACCAGGGUUUUCCUUGCCCUUGCCCUGGGCCAGACCCGGCUGCACCAGGACCCCCCCACGUCCCCACGGUGCCCCCCGCACCGCCACGCUGCCUGGCUCUGCUGCCAGCCCCGGUUCUUUUGGGUGCCAGGAGCAGUUUGCUCCUCCCCAGCUCCCACACCCCAAAAAAUCUUUUGCACCCUGGCUCCAUCCAGGCUGAUUUUCGGUGCCCAUCGUGCUGCGCCCACAGCGCAGGGACCCUGAUACCGACACGGGCCCUGGGGGGGGGGCAGGAUGGAGGUCGGUGAGGGGCACCCCAGGCACUUGGUGCUCCCCACCGGGGUCUGCUCCUGUCACCGGGACUGAUGUGAUUCCCCUGGGGGGCUGCACACCCCCGGGCCCCUCACCACGGUGCCCCUGACCCCACGGGCACAGCGCAGCCCCUCCGCUGCGCUCGGCGGAUCCGGCUGCGGUGGGCGCGGGGGGACGCGGGCAUCCCCCGGGGUGGGUGAUGAAUGAAGGGGGGAAAUUCCUCGUGCUCGGCCCCGCUGGACCUGGCCCUCGUUAGCCGGGAUGAGCUCAUGGAUCCGCCCGCGUCACGCUAAAUUAAUUCGAUCAUUACGGCUCGGCCGGAGCGAGGGGCUCCCACAGCCCGCAGACCCCGGUGUGCCCCCGGCCAGCCCCUGCUCCAUGCAGCGGGGGCAGCUCCAGCACAGCCCCCUCCUGGGGGGGGGCAGAGCACGGUGGCACCGCUGGGAGCUGCCAACUGUGCUCUGCCCUGAGCCUGCCCGUGUGUCCUGAUGAGCUGCGGUGCUGAGCCCCCCCCCCUGCUCCCCACCACCUCUGGAAAUGGCCACGGCUUUUUUGGCACGGCCAUGGGUGAUCCGGCUGCGUGGCACAGCCGAGCCCUGGUCCUGCAGGGAGCAGUCGGUCACCCGGAUGGCUUUUGGUUCAUGAGGCCCUUGGUGAAUUCAUGCCGCUGGAGACCGAGGGAUAACGAGAGUUUGUGGGACGUUCACACACAGGGAUCCUGCCGUGAACCCCAAAUCCUCUCCUUGUCCCAAAACUCCCGCUUCCUGGCACGCUGCUGGGUUCGGAAGGUGAGCGUGGCUUUGAGUUGGUGGUGGUGACAAUUUUGGAUGCGUGGGGGUGGGCAGCCCUGGGGACAACAACCAGCAACGCUCUGACUGAAAGGUGAAGACUUUGUUGUUGUUCUCAUAAAAAUGAGACCUGGAAGGUGUGCACAGCGCCCAAAACUCCUCCG